rnacentral:rRNA from 1 species
UACGUAGGGGCCAAGCGUUGUCCGGAUUUAUUGGGCGUAAAGAGCUCGUAGGCGGUUCGGCAAGUCAGCUGUGAAAUCUCCACGCUCAACGUGGAGGGGUCAGCUGAUACUGCUGUGACUUGAGUCCGGUAGGGGAGUGUGGAAUUCCCGGUGUAGCGGUGAAAUGCGCAGAUAUCGGGAGGAACACCUGUGGCGAAAGCGGCUCACUGGACCACAACUGACGCUGAUGCGCGAAAGCUAGGGGAGCAAACAGG